rnacentral:rRNA from 1 species
GACGAACGCUGGCGGCGUGCUUAACACAUGCAAGUCGAACGAGAAAGCCCUUCGGGGUAAGUACAGUGGCGAACGGGUGAGUAACACGUGGGCGACCUGCCCCUAACUUUGGGAUAACUACUCGAAAGAGUAGCUAAUACCGGAUAUGAAGUCUGUAGGCAUCUACGGAUUUGGAAAGUUUUUCGGUUAGGGAUGGGCCCGCGGCCUAUCAGCUUGUUGGUGGGGUGAUGGCCUACCAAGGCGACGACGGGUAGCCGGCCUGAGCGGGUGACCGGCCACACUGGGACUGAGAUACGGCCCAGACUCCUACGGGAGGCAGCAGUGGGGAAUAUUGCACAAUGGGCGCAAGCCUGAUGCAGCGACGCCGCGUGAGGGAUGACGGCCUUCGGGUUGUAAACCUCUUUUAGUAGGGAAGAAGCGAAAGUGACGGUACCUGCAGAAAAAGCACCGGCUAACUACGUGCCAGCCGCCGCGGUAA